UGGCCUACGGGGCGCAGCAGUGAGGAAUAUUGGUCAAUGGGCUUACGCCUGAACCAGCCAAGUCGCGUGAGGGAAGACUGCCCUAUGGGUUGUAAACCUCUUUUGUCAGGGAGCAACGCCGGCUACGUGUCCCGGACUGCGUGUAUCCGAAGAAAAAGCAUCGGCUAACUCCGUGCCAGCAGCCGCGGUAAUACGGAGGAUGCGAGCGUUAUCCGGAUUUAUUGGGUUUAAAGGGUGCGUAGGCGGUCCGUUAAGUCAGCGGUAAAAUUGCGGUGCUCAACCCCGUCGAGCCGUUGAAACUGGCA
rnacentral:rRNA from 1 species